rnacentral:rRNA from 1 species
UACGUAGGGUGCAAGCGUUGUCCGGAAUUAUUGGGCGUAAAGAGCGUGUAGGCGGCCCGAUAAGUCCGCUGUGAAAGUCCAGGGCUCAACCCUGGAAUGCCGGUGGAUACUGUCGGGCUCGAAUCCGGAAGAGGUGAGUGGAAUCCCUGGUGUAGCGGUGAAAUGCGCAGAUAUCAGGAGGAACACCAAUGGCGAAGGCAGCUCACUGGGACGGUAUUGACGCUGAGACGCGAAAGCGUGGGGAGCAAACAGG